UGCCCUGUUGUUUCACGCCGAGAGUAUGCGGGCCUUUGGAGCCUGAGACACCGGUUCGAAUCCGGUCGGGGCUA
rnacentral:tRNA from 1 species